GCGGCAGUAGCUCAAUGGAUAGAGCAUCUGGCUUCGGACCAGAGGGUUGGGGGUUCGAGUCCUCUCUGCCGCACCA
rnacentral:tRNA from 1 species